rnacentral:rRNA from 1 species
CCUACGGGUGGCAGCAGUAGGGAAUUUUCGUCAAUGGGCGCAAGCCUGAACGAGCAAUGCCGCGUGAACGAGGAAGGUCCUAGGAUCGUAAAGUUCUGUUGAAGGGGAAACAGAGCGGUGAGAGGAAAUGGUCUCCGCUUGAUAUUACCCUUCGAGGAAGUCACGGCUAACUACGUGCCAGCAGCCGCGGUAAUACGUAGGUGGCGAGCGUUAUCGGGAUUGAUUGGGCGUAAAGGGUGCGUAGGCGGCCUGCUAAGUUUGGAGUGAAAGGGACCGGCUCAACCGGGACAGGCUCUGGAAACUGGCGGGCUAGAGUGCGGGAGAGGGCGGUGGAACGCCAUGUGUAGCGGUAAAAUGCGUAGAUAUAUGGAAGAACACCGAUGGCGAAGGCAGCCGCCUGGCCUGUUACUGACGCUGAGGCACGAAAGCGUGGGGAGCAAAUAGGAUUAGAUACCCCUGUAGUC